CUUCCUCUCCUUCCUUCCCGUCCACAUCCCACAUCGCCUGGAAACUGGGAGGAGCUCAGGAAACACCCAUGACGGACGAGAGGCUAAGGGACAAACAGAGAGAGAUGAGGUCAAUGAGCUCGUGAAGGAGGAAACAGGACUGGAGAGCGCUGGGAGGCGCCAGCUCCUCCUUGAACCCUCCCAUUCCCACAGUCUCGCAGUUGCGUGGAUUUUACUAGCCUUUCACCGGAGCCGUGUCCCAUGCCAGACGGCUGAGAGCGGUCUCCCUCUGAAUCCGCGGGACCUGGCGGGACCCUGCUUUGCCAUCCAGGCCCGCUCGGCAUCCCACCGCCCGCCUGUGCCUGGGGGAAACUGGAGUGCAGAGAGGCACACGGUCCCCAAGCCAGAAAGAUGCAGACUUCAACCUCGAACCCAGACCUCAGCCUGCCGCCCCCACCCCUGGCCUGCCAUCUGCCACCCUCCUCCAUGGCCGGGCCACCAGGCGGGAGGCAGAGUACCCAAGACAGCUGGGCCCGGGGUCUCGGGACCAGGGGAAGAACCUGACCAGCCGGAGUUGGGGGCGGGUUUUCUCCAGCUGCAGACCAGGCCUGGACAGGAGCCCCCCAAAGCUCCGCCCCCAAAGUGGGCUGUGUGCAAGACAAGCCCGCGUCGUGUGGAGAAAAGCCCAGCUCCUCUAUUUCUAGAUUUUAUCUCAUCCUUUUUAAAGUUCAAGUUUUGUGCGCCCAUAAUGUGUAACGUAGCGAUAAAGUGCCUAAAGUUUAUAAAUAAAUAACCAGACACGCUCUGGAACGUUUGGGGAACACUGCCUGUCUC
rnacentral:lncRNA from 1 species